rnacentral:rRNA from 1 species
AACGAACGCUGGCGGCAUGCCUAACACAUGCAAGUCGAACGAGACCUCCGGGUCUAGUGGCGCACGGGUGCGUAACGCGUGGGAACCUGCCCUUAGGUUCGGAAUAACUCCCCGAAAGGGGUGCUAAUACCGGAUAAUGUCUUCGGACCAAAGAUUUAUCGCCUUUGGAUGGGCCCUCGUUGGAUUAGCUAGUUGGUAGGGUAAAAGCCUACCAAGGCGACGAUCCAUAGCUGGUCUGAGAGGAUGAUCAGCCACACUGGGACUGAGACACGGCCCAGACUCCUACGGAAUGCAGCAGUGGGGAAUAUUGGACAAUGGGCGAAGGCCUGAUCCAGCAAUGCCGCGUGAGUGAUGAAGGCCUUAGGGUAGUAAAGCUCUUUUACCCGGGAUGAUAAUGACAGUACCGGGAGAAUAAGCUCCGGCUAACUACGUG